rnacentral:misc_RNA from 1 species
UAAUAAGUGUUUUAUGGCACUUCUUAAAUCCAUAUCCACCUUGUGUGCAAUGUCAGUCGUUUUCUUUUCGUCAGAAAAAGGAUCGACCAAACAUCAACUUAUUCUAUUAACUGUUGUCUGAAAACUAUUAUGAAUAAACUAAUUCAAAUA